AAAGUCGUAACAAGGUUUCCGUAGGUGAACCUGCGGAAGGAUCAUUAGUGGAAAAACCCUCGGGUUGCUUCAACCUGUAUCCACCUUUGUGAAUUGUUUUUUUUUUGUUAUAUAGCCUUAAAGAGAAAUCUUUAGGCUUUUAACAAGCUUGAAAUUUUUGUUUGGCUGAAACUUUUGGUUUACAAAACAAAUCAAAUACAACUUUCAACAACGGAUCUCUUGGCUCCU
rnacentral:misc_RNA from 1 species